UUCCUUUGUUACUGUUUUUCUUUUUGAAGUAAAGCACGUUGAGGUGAUGAAGAGGGGAAAAGAUUCAGGAAAAAGCAUAGGAAUAAAAAGAGAUGAGGGCCGAAGGAGAUCAUGAGAGAACCGAGGUGUUCUGGUCGAGCACGCCCGAGACAUGUGUGCAAGUUGUAAUUAGAUGCAGGAUGAAAGGGAAGCGUGCUUAUCUAAUUAAUUGCCCGUUUGAUUUUGUUGCGCGAACAGAGCUUGGAACGGGGCCAAUUUAUGCAAAAUAAAAGGAAAUCGACAGCUUAACGAAAAUGGAAUAGCGAGAAAUCGGAAAUGAGCUGGUGACUUUAGUUAAUUGUGAUGGAUCGUUUCCAGUACAAAUAAUAAUCCGGCAAGAAUCGUAUAAUUUUAUUUUUCAGUUUGAAAAAGCUUUGUUUUAAUUCUGGAAUCAUUUAUUCUAAUUAACAGAAAUGGUUCUUAAAAGCCAAAUAACUAAAAUAGAUAGUGCAUCGAUGAGCCAGUUUUAAUUUAGCUUGAUGUUUAUUAUUAGAUACUUGAAUAGAGCUGAUUAAUUUUUAUUACAAAUUUUACAAACAAAGUCACUGCACCAUAGAAGCUAGUAAAAGAAAUUAUGUAAUUAUUAAUGUAUAGAUAUUACCAUUUUGUCGGCAAUAUCUAAUAGAAGAGAAUCUGCCGAUUUAAUACCAACAUUGUUAUCAACUAAGUAAGUCAUCAACAUAAGCAGUAAUAACUACAAAUAACAUUUUUGACUUAAAUCAAUGAUUUAUCACAAAACAUAUCGACAAAUUCAAUUUUGGUGUUUUAUCUUGGUGUUGAUAACAAAACUAGAAGAACUGAAUCGAAAAGCAAACAAAACUUGGGGGUUAUGACGUGCUUCUAUUGAAAAAUUGUUUGACGUUUCGAGUACUAUGUUAGAACUUUCUUCAGAAACAAGUUCAAAAGUACUGACAAAACAACUGUGUUCGGUUUUCCUACUUCCAUGUUUCUUGAGGUAUUUGAUUAAGAACUAUGCCUAUACAUAUCCAGCGUACUCUUAGACAAGAUGUUAAGAAGUCAAAUUGAACAAUUGACAUCAUUACCAGAAAGAGAUAUUUUGUUGGCCAUGAUGAAAGACAUUCAAAGAAACGUUACCCAGCUUUUUGAACACUACUCAAACAGAACAGUCUAAUAAGUCAUCAUCUUAUCAUCAUCCACAACAGAAGAGGUCCACAAACAACGCAAGCAAAAGGAAGACUCGAUGUAUUCCAUCUGGUUUGGGAAAAUGUACUGGUGGCAUAAUCCAAUUAAUUCCUAGGAGGUGUACCGUAUCAAGACAUCGCGAGCAACUUCAAGAAUUUACUAUUGGCAUUGAUUCAGCUUUUGACGCAUUUAAUUGACGAUCUAUGGGAUUGGUCAAGUCUGUUGAGUAUAUCAUCCAUAGUCAGGUUGUUAUCGUACUCGGUGCUGUAAUCGGAUUGGAGUGAUUGUUUUGGAUGAAGUCGUCAU